AAUAGGAUGUCUGAUUAAAGUAGUAAAUUGUAAAUUUAUUUAAGGUUAAUAAACCUCUUAUUA
rnacentral:tRNA from 1 species